GGAAAUAUUUGAAGCAUCUAAUUGGGUUAAAAAAAUUUGACGAACAUUUUAUUCUCCAAGAAACAAUGAAACUUCAUUGUGAUAAUUAAAUGUGCAAAUAAUUUCGGAUUGAUUUGAUUUUUGCAAGAUUGAUAUAUGAAUCGAGACUUACAAAAUAGAUGAUUUGGAUCGGUGAAGUUCAAUGUGGAGUGAUUCCCACAACUAAUCCAUCCCUUCUCUUAGAGCAUCUUCAAAGGAUACGUCAAAUUCAAAACAUCAAAUUUAAAUUUGAUGGCUGACUUGGCAAUUUGACAUAUUGUCAAUAUUUUCCUUCCACCAGUAUGCCAAAUUUUAUUGCUUCACUUAUGUUUUUUUUUUAAACAUAAAUAAUAAAAGUUGGGUUGUUAUUGGUUUAAAAAUAAUAAAAUAAUACUUAAAUGUGCUAGCAUUUAUGGUAAGGCAAGUGGAAAUCCUUUAGAAAUAGCAAAAAUCAAAUUUGAAUGUAACUUCAAAUUUGACAUCUCUUUGUCUAUGUUAGCUUAGUCUUCUUUUCCAUGUCAUCUUUGAUAUCUCGGUUGGAGUAAAUGGUAUGUCAUUUAUUACCGUUAUAUAUUUAAGUGACAUUUUUUACAACUCCUUUGAAAAUUAUCCUA
rnacentral:lncRNA from 1 species